AGACAAGUAAGGAAAGCAUUAAACAACAAAGAAAUAACAAAGGAUCAAAACCAAGAAACUUAGCUCUUUGAAGAACCAGGGCUCUGAUACCAAAUGAUGGCAAACAAAUGCUCUAGCUAGGACAAGACAAAUCUAGAAGCAAAUCAAGCCAAAAGUUCAUGGAUGAAGAUUGCGGAAUUUGGUGGUGGUGAAAGGUGUUGAUAGCUCAUGGUUUUGGUGAGUUAUGUGGUGAGGGAUGAUGUGUUUAAGGGUUCUCUAAUAGAGGUUGGGCCAACUCUUGGAGGAAGGUGGCUAGAGGAGGCCACUUGGAUUGUUGUAGCCUAGGGUGACCUUAAAAGAGUAGUAUGGCACAAAAAUGGCAGCAUAAGUUUACUCUAAAUCAAAGGUGAUUACAUGAUGGAGAGCACCUCUAUUUAUAGGCUAAGGUGUCU
rnacentral:lncRNA from 1 species